rnacentral:rRNA from 1 species
AGGAAAGAGCUCAAAGUUGGAACCUGUUUGGCUUAGCUAAACCGGAUUGUAAACUGUAGAAGUGUUUUCCAGACACGCCUGGUAAAAAAGUCCUUUGGAACAGGGCAUCAUAGAGGGUGAGAAUCCCGUCUUUGGCCAGAGCUGUUGUCUUUUGUGAUACAUUUUCAAAGAGUCAGGUUGUUUGGGAAUGCAGCCUAAAUUGGGUGGUAAAUCUCACCUAAAGCUAAAUAUUUGCGAGAGACCGAUAGCGAACAAGUACCGUGAGGGAAAGAUGAAAAGAACUUUGAAAAGAGAGUUAAACAGUAUGUGAAAUUGUUAAAAGGGAACCGUUUGGAGCCAGACUGGCUUGACUGUAAUCAAUCUAGGCUUCGGCCUGGAUGCACUUGCGGUUUAUGCCUGCCAACGACAAUUUUUUUUGAGGGAAAAAACUAUUUGGAAUGUGGCCCUCCCUCGGGGGGGUGUUAUAGCCUUUUAGAAAAUACCUUGAAUUGGAUUGAGGAACGCAGUGAAUGCCUUUAGGCAAGAUUGCUGGGCGCUUUCGCUAAUAAAUGCUAGAAUUUCUGCUUCGGGUGGUGCUAGUGUUUAAAGGAGAAACUCGUCUGGUAUAUU